GAUGAAGAACGUAGUAAAAUGCGAUAAGUAAUGUGAAUUGCAGAAUUCAGUGAAUCAUCGAAUCUUUGAACGCACAUUGCGCCCCCUGGUAUUCCGGGGGGCAUGCCUGUCCGAGCGUCAUUACAACCCUCAAGCUCAGCUUGGUGUUGGGCCCCGCCGCCCCGGCGGGCCCUAAAGUCAGUGGCGGUGCCGUCCGGCUCCGAGCGUAGUAAUUCUUCUCGCUCUGGAGGUCCGGUCGUGUGCUCGCCAGCAACCCCCAAUUUUUUUCAGGUUGACCUCGGAUCAGGUAGGGAUACCCGCUGAACUUAAGCAUAUCAAUAAGCGGAGGA
rnacentral:misc_RNA from 1 species